AAAGAGUUAAUUAAUUAAUAAAGUUAAAGUUGGAAAAUUAUUUUAAAUAAUUAAUUAGAAAUGAAAUGUUAUUCGUUUUUAAAUAUAUCUAGUUUUUUUAGAAAAGAAUUUAAUUUUGAAUUUUUUGGGGGGAAAAUUAAUUAAUAAAUUUUUUUUUAAUAAAAUUUUAUAUUUUAAGGGAUAAGCUUUAAAUUAAAAAAUUAUAAUAUACAUAUAAAUUUUAUUGAAAAUUUUAUAAUUUAAAUUGUUAAAAAAUUUUAAUUUAUUAUAAAUAAUUUCCUUAAUAAUAAAAUUUAAUUUAAUUUAAUUUUUUAUAAAAAAGUGAAUUUUAAUUUUUAAAAUUUAGUAAUAAUGAUAAAAUUAGUAUAAUAAUAAUAAUAUAAUUAAUUAUUUAAUUAAUAAAAAUAAUAAAAAGGAAUUCGGCAAAAAUUUAUAUUCACUUGUUUAACAAAAACAUGUCUUUUUGAGUUUAUAUAAAGUCUAAUCUGCCCACUGAUAUAAAAUUAAAGGGCUGCAGUAUAUUGACUGUACAAAGGUAGCAUAAUCAUUAGUCAUUUAAUUGAUGACUUGUAUGAAAGAUUGAAUGAAAUAUAAACUGUCUCUUUAUUAAUUUAUAGAAUUUAAUUUUUUAAUCAAAAAGUUAAAAUAUAUUAAAAAGACGAGAAGACCCUAUAGAGUUUUAUAAAUAGAUUUAUUAGAAGUUAUUUUUAAAUUUUAUAAUUUUAAUAUAUUUUUUUAUUUUAUUGGGGUGAUAGAAAAAUAUAAAAAACUUUUUUUUUUUAUUACAUAAAUAAGUGAUUAAAUGAUCCAUUAAUAAUGAUUAUAAGAAAAAAUUACCUUAGGGAUAACAGCGUAAUUUUUUUUUUUAGUUCAAAUAAGAAAAAAAGUUUGCGACCUCGAUGUUGGAUUAAGAUAAAAUUUAAAUGCAAAAGUUUAAAAUUUUG
rnacentral:rRNA from 1 species